GAAGUCGGCUGGACAGUCGCCGCGGUGCUUGUCACCGGGGAGGAAAGUCCGGGCUCCAUAGAGCAGGAUGCCGGCUAACGGCCGGAGGCCGCGAGGCCAUGGAAAGUGAUACAGAGACUCAGACCGCCCAAGCGGACCUCGCGGUCCGACGGCAAGGGUGAAAAGGUGCGGUAAGAGCGCACCGCGCAAGCGGCAACGCAAGCGGCAUGUCAAACCCCAUCCGGAGCAAGACCAAAUAGGGGAACGAUCGCGUGGCUCGCGCGGUUCCCGGGUAGGUUGCUUGAGCGACCGGGCAACCGGUCGCCUAGAGGAAUGACUGUCCUCGACAGAACCCGGCUUACAGGCCGGCUUCACCA
rnacentral:RNase_P_RNA from 1 species